AAAUACUAAAUCCCUUUUAUCUUCUGCUUUGUCAAAUUUUAAUUUAUUUUUCUUGAAAAUCGCAGACUUCAUUUUGGUU
rnacentral:rRNA from 12 species